rnacentral:rRNA from 1 species
AUUGAACGCUGGCGGCAUGCCUUACACAUGCAAGUCGAACGGUAACAGGUCUUCGGAUGCUGACGAGUGGCGAACGGGUGCGUAAUACAUCGGAACGUGCCCGAUCGUGGGGGAUAACGAAGCGAAAGCUUUGCUAAUACCGCAUAAGAUCUACGGAUGAAAGCAGGGGACCGCAAGGCCUUGCGCGAACGGAGCGGCCGAUGGCAGAUUAGGUAGUUGGUGGGAUAAAAGCUUACCAAGCCGACGAUCUGUAGCUGGUCUGAGAGGACGACCAGCCACACUGGAACUGAGACACGGCCCAGACUCCUACGGGAGGCAGCAGUGGGGAAUUUUGGACAAUGGGCGAAAGCCUGAUCCAGCCAUGCCGCGUGCAGGAUGAAGGCCUUCGGGUUGUAAACUGCUUUUGUACGGAACGAAAAGACUCUGGUUAAUACCUGGGGUCCAUGACGGUACCGUAAGAAUAAGCACCGGCUAACUACGUG